rnacentral:rRNA from 1 species
AGUGAACGCUGGCGGUAGGCCUAACACAUGCAAGUCGAACGGCAGCACAGUAAGAGCUUGCUCUUACGGGUGGCGAGUGGCGGACGGGUGAGGAAUACAUCGGAAUCUACUUUUUCGUGGGGGAUAGCGUAGGGAAACUUACGCUAAUACCGCAUACGACCUACGGGUGAAAGCAGGGGAUCUUCGGACCUUGCGCGAUUGAAUGAGCCGAUGUCGGAUUAGCUAGUUGGCGGGGUAAAGGCCCACCAAGGCGACGAUCCGUAGCUGGUCUGAGAGGAUGAUCAGCCACACUGGAACUGAGACACGGUCCAGACUCCUACGGGAGGCAGCAGUGGGGAAUAUUGGACAAUGGGCGCAAGCCUGAUCCAGCCAUACCGCGUGGGUGAAGAAGGCCUUCGGGUUGUAAAGCCCUUUUGUUGGGAAAGAAAAGCAGCAGGUUAAUACCCCGCUGUUCUGACGGUACCCAAAGAAUAAGCACCUGCUAACUUCGUG